GUGAGAGCAAUGGCAGGGUGGAGACUUGCGCCUGAGGAUACAUAGGACUUGGAAAGGUAGUACUCCAUUUUACGAUCCAUCGGGUCCCUGAAGGAACCAGCAUCGUCCACAGGUAGGGUAGUAUGUUUGGCUAACCUGACAACUGCAGCAUCAACCUUGGGUGCAAAAUCCCAUGCUUCAGCAUCUUUGGGCUUGAAUGGGUAUAACCUGGAAAAUUUCCCUUUGGCAGAUGAUCUCCU